CGCGGCCUAUCAGCUUGUUGGUGAGGUAGUGGCUCACCAAGGCGACGACGGGUAGCCGGCCUGAGAGGGCGACCGGCCACACUGGGACUGAGACACGGCCCAGACUCCUACGGGAGGCAGCAGUGGGGAAUAUUGCACAAUGGGCGAAAGCCUGAUGCAGCGACGCCGCGUGAGGGAUGACGGCCUUCGGGUUGUAAACCUCUUUCAGCAGGGAAGAAGCGAAAGUGACGGUACCUGCAGAAGAAGCGCCGGCUAACUACGUGCCAGCAGCCGCGGUAAUACGUAGGGCGCAAGCGUUGUCCGGAAUUAUUGGGCGUAAAGAGCUCGUAGGUGGCCUGUCACGUCGGGUGUGAAAGCCCGGGGCUUAACCCCGGGUCUGCAUUCGAUACGGGCUAGCUAGAGUGUGGUGGGGGAGAUCGGAAUUCCUGGUGUAGCGGUGAAAUGCGCAGAUAUCAGGAGGAACACCGGUGGCGAAGGCGGAUCUCUGGGCCAUUACUGACGCUGAGGAGCGAAAGCGUGGGGAGCGAACAGGAUUAGAUACCCUGGUAGUCCACGCCGUAAACGGUGGGAACUAGGUGUUGGCGACAUUCCACGUCGUCGGUGCCGCAGCUAACGCAUUAAGUUCCCCGCCUGGGGAGUACG
rnacentral:rRNA from 1 species